GUAAAGAAUCCCUCUGCCAAUGUAGAAGUCACAGGAGACAUGGCUUCCAUCCCUGGGUUGGGAAUAUUUCCUGGAGGAGGAACUGGCAACCCACUCCAGUAUUCUUGCAUGGGAAAUUCCAUGAACAGAGGAGCCUGGUGGGCCACAGUCCACGGGGUUGCAAAGAGUCAGGCACGUCUGAGCAACUGAGCAUGCACACCGUAGCGGGGGCAUCCUGGGCUGACCUUGUGGCCCAGAAAUGUUUCCUCUUGAGCAGAAGCACAUCAGAGAGCAGGAAGCUAGGUGGAACCAAGUGUUGGACACAGGUGAAACGAGCCUGUGCGAUGAGAAAGUGAAGUUACGAACAUACAGGAGGUCCUGGUAAGGAACAUAGAACUAAUAAGCCACCAGCAACCGGAAGAGUUCAGGAAAGGUCAAAAGGAGACACUAUGUGUCUGACUACCUCCCUGAAUCCUUCUCACUGGCAUCCAUCUUGGCUGAGUGAUGCAUGUGCCACCAGGAAGGACUCUGAUUCAGAAUGAUUGGCUAAAGACAACCUGGAAACUAAUGCCAUCAACAUAAAACCCAAGAUUGCGAGCCACAUGGCAAAGCAGUCCUCCUGGGCUUCCUUACCCCACUGCUUUCUGCCCGGGCGCCC
ensembl:lncRNA